rnacentral:rRNA from 1 species
AGUGAACGCUGGCGGUAGGCCUAACACAUGCAAGUCGAACGGCAGCACAGUAAGAGCUUGCUCUUACGGGUGGCGAGUGGCGGACGGGUGAGGAAUACAUCGGAAUCUACUUUUUCGUGGGGGAUAACGUAGGGAAACUUACGCUAAUACCGCAUACGACCUACGGGUGAAAGCAGGGGAUCUUCGGACCUUGCGCGAUUGAAUGAGCCGAUGUCGGAUUAGCUAGUUGGCGGGGUAAAGGCCCACCAAGGCGACGAUCCGUAGCUGGUCUGAGAGGAUGAUCAGCCACACUGGAACUGAGACACGGUCCGGACUCCUACGGGAGGCAGCAGUGGGGAAUAUUGGACAAUGGGCGCAAGCCUGAUCCAGCCAUACCGCGUGGGUGAAGAAGGCCUUCGGGUUGUAAAGCCCUUUUGUUGGGAAAGAAAAGCAGCAGGUUAAUACCCCGCUGCUCUGACGGUACCCAAAGAAUAAGCACCGGCUAACUUCGUG